UGUAUUUUUUGUAAAGAUGGCAUGUCACCAUGUUGCCCAGGCUGGUCUUAUCCCUGAGCUCCAAGUGAUUCACCGGCCUCGGCCUCUGAAAGUGCUGGAAUUAUAGGCAUCAGCCAUAGCACCCAGCGUAAAACUUUAUUUGUAAAGCACAAUGAGCCUGUGGGCUGUAGUUUGCUCAUCCCUGGACAAGGAGAAAACCUACUGCAUGUACUAUACAUUUCAGUGUUCAAGGAAGACAAAGUCUAUAAUACAUAAACACGGAAUUUCUUCUCAGAUUAUGUUCAGAUUUUUAAAGACAUUUUAUAUUUGGAUUCUUGUGUUUUAAUGAUAAUUUUGGUUUUUGGUCUCAAUCUGAGACCUCACCAGAUGAGAGGUUUUGGUGAUCGAAGGAUUUUUUUCAAUGUGUAAACAUGUGUCAAUUAUCUGAACUAAGAAUAAGGGACUUUUAGAAGUACUGAAAACCAGGAAAGAUUUAGAGAAUUCAGUUAAACUUUUUGUAAUCAUGGAGUUGGAGUAUUUUUUUUGCCUUCUUUCAAAAAAGAGUGAAAUGCUAUAUAACAAUAUGGUUUAAAGUAAAUUUAAAUGUCAAAAAGUAAGUAUAUGAUGAGUAUAGAAACAACUGCUGUUUUUGACCUCAAAUCUGGCUGUGAGGGGGAUUCGAGGAAGAUGGAUGUGACCAUGUCAUAGUAUUUUUGUUUUUGUUUUUAACUAAAACCUACAGAAACUAGAUAGCAAAUCCAAAUCUAUGGAUAAAGUUGACCAUAGCCUUAGGCAUUUGAAAAUAAAACUAGAUAAGGGCAAACCACCAACAGAAACUAGGUAGCGAAUCCAAAAACAUGGAUAAAAUUGACUAUAGCCUUAGGCAUUUGAAAGUACAACUAGAUAAGAGCAAAUCACCAACAGCCACAAGACCUCCAUGUUAUCACUGUCUAUGCAGGAGUAAGCAGGGAGAUUUAACAGGGUAUCUCAUAAGACUUGAAAGCAGGGGAACGCCAAAAUAGCCACAACUAUUUGCUGGACAAGAUGGUGGGUUAUUUUAAGAACAGCAGCUGAAAUGGGAGGGUGGGAGGGUUGCCCACUCCAAUAUUAGGCAAGUGCAGUGUGACCAUGGUAAAGACAGAAGAAGCUAGAGUAGUCUAGCCCCAGCGAACUCUCAAAAUGGAACUACUGAAAUGAACCUGCCAGAGUGCUCAUCCAGGACAGAGCACCACACUGAUUAAAACAAAAUUGAAUAGGACAGAAUAAUCCAAAUUGAGCAGGAUAGGGACAAUAGAAUAGAGAAGAACAGGAGGAGAAGGAAAGAAAGUUCAGAUAAGGUUGGGAAGAUCAAUGGCUAGUAGAUCUCAGAAAGCAAGCUACCAGGUUUUUGAACAUUAUGUGAAAACAACGGAGGAAUGAAUUCUCUGACAUCAGAAAAACUACCUUGAACUCUACAUUAUUUUAAAAGUUCAGGAACACUAAUUUUACAUAGACAAGAGAAACAGAAAAGUAUCAAGGUAAAAUCCCAUUUAAAGUUAUUAUAAAGGAAAAAACAAAAGCUCUUAUAAAUAAAAGCACCCCAGAAAAACAUGACCGCACAACAGAUCAAACCUCUAUUAUAAAAUGAGCUGGAGAAGGAGGAGGCUGCAAAUCACUUACAAAUGAAGUGGAAGCAGGACCCAAACCCUGAGUUCCAAAAGGGUGAGCGAGUGCUGUGCUUUGAUGGGUUGCUGCUUUAUGAAACAAAAUGUGUAAAGGUUGCCAUAAAGGACAAACAAGUGAAAUACUUUAUAUAUUACAGUGGUUGUAAUAAAAAUUGGGAUGCAUGGGUUCCAGAGAGCAGAGUACUCAAAUACAUGGACACCAAUUUGCAGAAACAGAGCUUCAGAAAGCCAAUCAGGAGCGGUAUGCAGAGGGGGAGCUGAGAGGCACUGCCCCAAGAAAGAAGACGUCUGGUCUGCAACAGAAAAUGUUGAAGUGAAAACAAAAAAGAACAAACAGAAAAUACCUGGAAAUGGAGAUGGUGGCAGUUCCAGUGAGACGCCUCAGCCUCCUUGGAAGAAAAGGGCCCAGGUAGAUCCUACUCUUGAAAAUGAGGACACAUUCAUGAACAGAGUUGAAGCUAAAAAGUGAAAAUUCCUGAAGACCUGAAACCAUGGCUUGUUGAUGACUGGGACUUAAUUACCAGACAAAAACAUCUCUUUUAUCUUUCUGCCGAGAAGAAUGUGGAUUCCAUUCUUCAGGAUUAAGCAAAUUACAAAAAAAUCUCAUGGAAAAACAGAUAAUGAGUAUGCUGUUAAUGAAGUUGUGGCAGGGAUAGAAGAAUAAUUCAAUGUAAUGUUGGCUACCCAGCUACUCUCCAAAUUUGACAGACCACAGUAUGCUGAAAUUCUUGCAGAUCACCCUCAUGUACUCAUGUCCCAGGUUCAUGGAGCACUACAUCUAUUGAUGUACAAAUUAAAGCAAUGUUGGCCUAUACACCUCUGGAUGAGAAGAACCUUAGCCUUGUUUUAUUACUGAAUUAUCUUCACAGUUUCCUAAAGUACCUGGCAAAGAAUUCUGCAACAUGUUUUAGUGCCCAGCAAUUAUGAAUGGCUCCCCCAGAGAACCAUCAGAAAGCUGUGUGAGAGGCACUCUCACUCAUGUUUGGAUCUCUGUAAACAUAUUUUUGUUCUUAGUCUUUCUGUUGUACAAAGGAUGUACUUUGAAGAUGUUAUUGUACAACAAUUGAUGUUUUUCUGUUUAAUUUUAAACAGAAAAUUAAAGGAGUAAUAGCUCCUUUUUCCCUAUCUUACCUUUUUUUUCACUUCAAAGUUGCUGCCAGUGUAUUCAACAAUGGACAACAGAGGCACAUGCUGUAGAGUGUUUUAUUGCCUAGUUGACAGAGCUGCCUUUGAAUGCUGGUGGUCCUGUUCCUUUGACCCUACGUACUUUUAUAAUAUGUGUUCAUGCUGUAUGACAAAAUGCUGUGAUUCCUAGUGCCAAAGGUUCAAUUCAGUGUAUAUAACUGAACACACUCAUCCAUGUGUGCUCCUUUUUGUUAUGGUUCUUAAAUAGCCCAUUCUUUGCAAGUCAUCCAUGUUCCUUAGGCAUUUAACUUUGCUCAAAUUGUUGAAGAAUGGUGUCUUGUUGCAUGGUUUUUGUAUUUGUGUCUAGUGCACAUUUUAACAUGGUAGAUGCGAUGCAUUAUGUAGCUAGUUUUCUGAAAAAGUCAGUCUUUUAGGAAUUAUUUUUCAAAUCUUCAAUAAAUUUUUUCUUUAAAUUUCAAAUAAA